CCUGCCCACUGAAAUUUUUAAAUGGCCGCAGUAAUUUGACUGUGCAAAGGUAGCAUAAUCAUUAGUUUUUUAAUUAAAAGCUUGUAUGAAUGGUUGGACGAGGUAAAUUCUGUCUUUAUUUAAAUAAAAUUAGAAUUUAAUUUUUAAGUUAAAAAGCUUAAAUAAAUAUAAAAGACGAGAAGACCCUAUAGAUCUUUAUAUUAUUAUAAUAUAAUUUUAAUAAAGAAUUUUUAAUUUUUUAUAUUAUAUAGUAUUUUAUUGGGGUAAUAAAAAGAUUAAAUUAAUUCUUUUUGAUAUCUUACAUUUAUUUAUGAAUUUAAUGAUCCAAGUUUUUUGAUUAUAAGAUUAAGUUACCUUAGGGAUAACAGCGUAAUUUUUUUAGAGAGUUCAUAUCGAUAAAAAAGUUUGCGACCUCGAUGUUGGAUUAAAAAUUGUUUUAGGCGCAGAAGUUUAAAAAUUUGGUCUGUUCGACCAUUAAAUUUUUACAUGAUCUGAGUUCAGACCGGUGUAAGCCAGGUCGGUUUCUAUCUUUAUAACUUUAUAAUAUUUUAGUACGAAAGGACCAAAUAUUUAAUAUAUUAAUAUUUAUAUUUUGAAUAUUAUUAAU
rnacentral:rRNA from 1 species